rnacentral:rRNA from 1 species
UGAGGAAUAUUGGACAAUGGAUGGAAAUCUGAUCCAGCCAUGCCGCGUGCAGGAAGGCGGCCCUAUGGGUUGUAAACUGCUUUUGUACGGGAGCAAUAAGGUCUACGAGUAGAUUGAUGAGAGUACUGUACGAAUAAGCAUCGGCUAACUCCGUGCCAGCAGCCGCGGUAAUACGGAGGAUGCGAGCGUUAUCCGGAUUUAUUGGGUUUAAAGGGUGCGUAGGCUGUUAUUCAAGUCAGUGGUAAAAGGUACAGGCUUAACUUGUAUGCGCCAUUGAUACUGAAUAGCUGGGAUAUGGAUGAAGUGUGCGGAAUGUGUGGUGUAGCGGUGAAAUGCAUAGAUAUCACACAGAACACCGAUAGCGAAGGCAGCACACUAAGGCAAUAUUGACGCUGAGGCACGAAAGUGUGGGGAUCAAACAG